rnacentral:rRNA from 1 species
UACGUAGGGUGCAAGCGUUAUCCGGAAUUAUUGGGCGUAAAGAGCUCGUAGGCGGUUUGUCGCGUCUGCUGUGAAAAACCCCGAGGCUCAACCUCGGGCCUGCAGUGGGUACGGGGCAGACUAGAGUGCGGUAGGGGGAGAUUGGAAAUUCCCCGGUGUAGCGGUGAAAUGCGCAGAUAUCGGGAGGAACACCGGUGGCGAAGGCGGUUCUCUGGGCCUUACCUGACGCUGAGGAGCGAAAGCGUGGGGAGCGAACAGG